rnacentral:rRNA from 1 species
GACGAACGCUGGCGGCGUGCUUAACACAUGUAAGUCGAACGGAAAGGCCCUGCUUUUGUGGGGUGCUCGAGUGGCGAACGGGUGAGUAACACGUGAGUAACCUGCCCUUGACUUUGGGAUAACUUCAGGAAACUGGGGCUAAUACCGGAUAGGAGCUCCUGCUGCAUGGUGGGGGUUGGAAAGUUUCGGCGGUUGGGGAUGGACUCGCGGCUUAUCAGCUUGUUGGUGGGGUAGUGGCUUACCAAGGCUUUGACGGGUAGCCGGCCUGAGAGGGUGACCGGCCACAUUGGGACUGAGAGACGGCCCAGACUCCUACGGGAGGCAGCAGUGGGGAAUAUUGCACAAUGGGCGGAAGCCUGAUGCAGCAACGCCGCGUGCGGGAUGACGGCCUUCGGGUUGUAAACCGCUUUCGCCUGUGACGAAGCGUGAGUGACGGUAAUGGGUAAAGAAGCACCGGCUAACUACGUG